rnacentral:rRNA from 1 species
ACGUAGGGUGCGAUCGUUAAUCUUAAUUACUGGGCUUAAAUCGUGCGCAUUCUGAUUGUUAAGCAAGACGUGAAAUCCCCGGGCUUAACCUGGGAAUGGCGUUUUGAACUGGCAGUCUAGAGUGCGUCAGAGGGGGGUGGAAUUCCACGUGUAGCAGUGAAAUGCGUAGAGAUGUGGAGGAACACCGAUGGCGAAGGCAGCCCCCUGGGAUGACACUGACGCUCAUGUACGAAAGCGUGGGUAGCAAACAG